rnacentral:rRNA from 1 species
AUUGAACGCUGGCGGCAUGCCUUACACAUGCAAGUCGAACGGCAGCACGGGUGCUUGCACCUGGUGGCGAGUGGCGAACGGGUGAGUAAUACAUCGGAACAUGUCCUGUAGUGGGGGAUAGCCCGGCGAAAGCCGGAUUAAUACCGCAUACGAUCUACGGAUGAAAGCGGGGGACCUUCGGGCCUCGCGCUAUAGGGUUGGCCGAUGGCUGAUUAGCUGGUUGGUGGGGUAAAGGCCUACCAAGGCGACGAUCAGUAGCUGGUCUGAGAGGACGACCAGCCACACUGGGACUGAGACACGGCCCAGACUCCUACGGGAGGCAGCGGUGGGGAAUUUUGGACAAUGGGCGAAAGCCUGAUCCAGCAAUGCCGCGUGUGUGAAGAAGGCCUUCGGGUUGUAAAGCACUUUUGUCCGGAAAGAAAUCCUUGGCCCUAAUACGGUCGGGGGAGGACGGUACCGGAAGAAUAAGCACCGGCUAACUACGU